rfam:Parcubacteria bacterium GW2011_GWA2_47_10 TX72_C0018, whole genome shotgun sequence.
GGUCCCAUCGUCUAGAGGCCUAGGACAUGGGCUUUUCAAGCCCAGUACAUGGGUUCGAAUCCCAUUGGGACCA